rnacentral:rRNA from 1 species
GGACCUACGGGAGGCAGCAGUAGGGAAUUUUCGUCAAUGGGCGCAAGCCUGAACGAGCAAUGCCGCGUGAACGAGGAAGGUCUUCGGAUCGUAAAGUUCUGUUGAAGGGGAAAAAGAGCGGAGAGAGGAAAUGGUCUCCGAUUGAUAUUACCCUUCGAGGAAGUCACGGCUAACUACGUGCCAGCAGCCGCGGUAAUACGUAGGUGGCGAGCGUUAUCCGGAUUUAUUGGGUUUAAAGGGGGCGUAGGCGGAUCGUUAAGUCAGUGGUCAAAUUGAGGGGCUCAACCCCUUCCCGCCAUUGAAAU